rnacentral:rRNA from 1 species
AUUGAACGCUGGCGGCAUGCUCUACACAUGCAAGUCGAACGGUAACAGGCCGCAAGGUGCUGACGAGUGGCGAACGGGUGAGUAAUGCAUCGGAACGUGCCCAGUCGUGGGGGAUAACUACUCGAAAGAGUAGCUAAUACCCCAUACGAUCUAUGGAUGAAAGCGGGGGACCGUAAGGCCUCGCGCGAUUGGGGCGGCCGAUGUCAGAUUGGGUGGUGGGGGGGGUAAAGGCUCACCAAGCCAACGAGCUGUAGAUGGUCGGAGAGGACGACCAGCCACACUGGGACUGAGACACGGCCCAGACUCUUACGGGAGGCAGCAGUGGGGAAUUUUGGACAAAGGGCGCAAGCCUGAUCCAGCAAUGCCGCGUGCAGGAAGAAGGCCUUCGGGUUGUAAACUGCUUUUGUACGGAACGAAACGGCUCUGGUUAAUACCCGGGGCUAAUGACGGUACCGUAAGAAUAAGCACCGGCUAACUACGUG